rnacentral:rRNA from 1 species
CCUACGGGUGGCAUCAGUGGGGAAUAUUGGACAAUGGGCGAAAGCCUGAUCCAGCCAUGCCGCGUGUGUGAAGAAGGCCUUCGGGUUGUAAAGCACUUUCAGUGGGGAAGAAAGCCUUGGGGCUAAUACCCUCGAGGAAGGACAUCACCCACAGAAGAAGCACCGGCUAACUCCGUGCCAGCAGCCGCGGUAAUACGGAGGGUGCGAGCGUUAAUCGGAAUUACUGGGCGUAAAGCGCGCGUAGGCGGUCUGAUAAGCCGGUUGUGAAAGCCCCGGGCUCAACCUGGGAACGGCAUCCGGAACUGUCAGGCUAGAGUGCAGGAGAGGAAGGUAGAAUUCCCGGUGUAGCGGUGAAAUGCGUAGAGAUCGGGAGGAAUACCAGUGGCGAAGGCGGCCUUCUGGACUGACACUGACGCUGAGGUGCGAAAGCGUGGGUAGCAAACAGGAUUAGAUACCCCAGUAGUC